GACGAACGCUGGCGGCGUGCUUAACACAUGCAAGUCGAACGGAAAGGCCCUGCUUGCAGGGUACUCGAGUGGCGAACGGGUGAGUAACACGUGGGUGAUCUGCCCUUCACUUCGGGAUAAGCCUGGGAAACUGGGUCUAAUACCGGAUAGGAGCCAUUUUUAGUGUUAUGGUUGGAAAGUUUUUUCGGUGUAGGAUGAUCUCGCGGCCUAUCAGCUUGUUGGUGGGGUAAUGGCCUACCAAGGCGGCGACGGGUAGCCGGCCUGAGAGGGUGGACGGCCACACUGGGACUGAGACACGGCGCAGACGCCGACGGGAGGAAGGAGCAGGGAAUAUUGGACAAAGCGCGCCAGCCUGAUGGAGGGACGCCGGGUGGGGGAUGACGGACUUGGGGUUGUAAACGCAUUUCGCUAGGGACGAGUCUCUUUGUGACGGUACCUAGAGAAGAAGCACCGGCUAACUCCGUG
rnacentral:rRNA from 1 species